rnacentral:tRNA from 1 species
GAGGGUAUGACUCAGUGGUAGAGCAUGUGCUUAGCAUGCAUGAGGUCCUGGGUUCAAUCCUCAGUACCUCCA